GCCGGGCAUGGUGUCUCAUGCCUGUAAUCCCAGCACUUUGGGAGGCCGAGGCAGGUGGAUCACCUGAGGUCAGGAGUUUGAGACCAGCCUGGCCUACAUGGUGAAACCCUGUCUCUA
rnacentral:SRP_RNA from 1 species